GCAAGUCGAACGAGAAAGGGGAGCAAUCCCUGAGUAAAGUGGCGACCGGGUGAGUAACACGUGACUAACCUACCCUCGAGUGUGGAAUAACCCCGGGAAACCGGGGCUAAUACCGCAUAACAUCGCAAGAUCAAAGGAGCAAUUCGCUUGAGGAGGGGGUCGCGGCUGAUUAGCUAGUUGGCGGGGUAACGGCCCACCAAGGCGAAGAUCGGUAGCCGGCCUGAGAGGGCGCACGGCCACACUGGAACUGAAACACGGUCCAGACUCCUACGGGAGGCAGCAGUGGGGAAUUUUGCGCAAUGGGGGAAACCCUGACGCAGCAACGCCGCGUGGAGGAUGAAGCCCCUUGGGGCGUAAACUCCUUUCGACCAAGACGAUAAUGACGGUACUGGUGGAAGAAGCACCGGCUAACUCUGUGCCAGCAGCCGCGGUAAUACAGAGGGUGCAAGCGUCGUUCGGAAUUAUUGGGCGUAAAGGGCGCGUAGGCGGCGCGACAAGUCACCUGUGAAAUCCCC
rnacentral:rRNA from 1 species